rnacentral:lncRNA from 1 species
AGACAAGGACUAGUAUAGAGUCCUGAAGUCCGAGACGCUGCGGGCGAGGCUGCACAGAUCCGGUUCCUGAACCAUUGAUUCCCGCGUGGCUGCACCUUCCCGACCUAGGCCAGUUCUGGGAGGCUUGCUGUCCACGAACCAACGCCAGGGAAGGAUGCCCCAGGAGUGUGUUUUUUUCAGCUGCUGCGCGGGGCAGGAAAACUUCCUGGCGGCGCUAUCUACUCGAAACUGUCUGCUCUCAACCGUAAACCGGCUCCGUGGGAUCUCAGCCUCCUAGGACGUAGAAAGCUUCCUCCAAAUCUCCCCGGGGGUCACGUUGGCACAAACACCUUCAAACCGUCUGAGAACGAAAAAGACCUUUCUCACUUGGAAAGAAACGUUUACUGCAGUCUUGUUUAAGUAACAUGUUUAAGUAACGUCUUAUGCGGCCUUCGCCGCGUCCAGCCUGGAGGUCCGGGCCUUCGGUCGGCACUGGGAGAGCGAUCCCCAAGGUUCCGCUAGACCUUCGCUGCGUCAGCGGACGGCCAGGUCUGCGGGCCUAGCCCCCCGAUUGCCCUUGGCCCCUGAAGCUGCAGGGACGCCCAGCCAUCACCACUGCCCCGGCGCAGUUCCUGCUCGGCUCGCCUGACCCUGCGGAGAUGUGGGGGUCGGGUGGGGCCGUGGGCUGCUGGCCUUGCUCAGAAUCAGCCAGGGAACAGCAGAGAGGGCCGAGGCACCAGGCGGGUGCGGCGCGCCAGGACGCACGCCACAGGGGUCAGAAGGAGUGGCGCUCCCUAGGAACCAGGUCCAGGCUCUGGACCUCGCAGCCUCGCCUGCAUGUCAGGUCGGAGUCCCCGGUUCGGUACCUCCAGGUUGCAGCGACUGUAAGGGCCCCAAGCCUCAUUGUGCCCUGCCUGGUACUGGCGCCCCGUCUCCAAGCCCGUGCACGUAGGGCCUAGCAGUGCUGGGCUUUUUCCUGGGGCAUCUCUCUCCAUCCGCCCGCCAAGGGCCUGGGGCCCUAGCGAAGAGGACUAGGGAGACUUGGUUGGCCCGCACAAGGUGGGCCUUUGUCCUUGAACCUGCCUCUACGUUCUCGAACUCCCCUCCACCUCUCCGCACUCCUGCCAGCCAGAGGCGAGGACCUUCUUACCUCUUGAGGCUCGCCACAUCCUGAGGCCAGGCAGAGCUUCUGAGUCGGGGAUCCUAAAACGCGCGCGCUCUUCCGCCUGCAGUCCUCCUCCUCUCCCUCACUGCUAGCCUUUUUCCCCUCGUAGCCCCUUCCUCUCUGACGGAGCCCAUUUUACUCUGCCACCCCUUUUCCCUUCUGCCCUUCCCCCACUUCCUUUCUUCCUCACCUCCUCCCCCAUCUCCUCAGCUUCCUUUCUUACUGUUUCCACUCCUCCCCACCUGUUUCCCUCCUGCCCAUUUUCUCACUCUUCCCCUCAUCUUGUUUCAUUCCCCUCUUUUCUCUCCCUUCUUACCCCCUCCACUCUGAUGCUCUCAGGCUUUUUGAUUGUGGCCCCUGCAGAUGUUUGAUGUGAAGGGAAUCAGGGCAGCACAGGAGGGCUUCGCCGAGGUGGGGUGAGACUAACUGAGCAAGACUCCACUCCUGAGCCUCACAUUCCUUCCCCUAUCCCACCCCUCUGCUUCUGACCCUCAGGGCUGCUCAGGAAAAUGCCCAUGCAUCCCUGGGCUUGUGAAAGGGAAGCUACUCUGUGCCCUGUUCCAACUGUCUGAAGAGAACCAGAACAGAGCUGGAGGUGACCAUGAGGCCUGGGCCCCAGGCAUCCCUGAGAGCAGAUGGGGGCUCCCAGACCAGGAACACCCACCCCCACUGCACCACACACAGGUGAGAGCAAACUGACUUUCCUUUCUUUCCCAACAGUCCCACUUUAGACUGGGGGUUGUAUUGUCUUGAGAUCACCCCAACUGGAAGGUGUUUCAGAGAUUGCCUUAAAAUGCAGGGGCCAAAUCUAAGAGAAAAGAGUGGGGUCCCUGGCUUCUCACACCAGCCAAGGACAGAGCACUCUAGCUGCUCUGGGUCCACCAAUAAUCUCCUACCUUUUCCCUAACUGGGGCCAGUGGGGGCCACUGAGUCACUGGCCUCCUGAGAGGGGACUAAGUCUCAUGCAUUCUCCCCUGGGAGCUGGGCUCCCCAGAUGCAUGGCAGGCAGCCAGCCAGCCACCCUCUACCUUUUACCUUCCAGCUGCAGCCAUACUUUUGAGAUUGGUGGCAGUUUCAUCUCCUGAGAAAUAUAGGUUUCCAGUAGGUGGAUAGAGACAUGAUAUAAAUGUUUCUACAGACAUGUCUUUCUCCUUGAAUGAAGAGGAAAGUGCUUUCCUGUGUAAACACAUUAGUGAGUGCACAUGUGGAUGGGCAUGGGGAAGAAGGCACUCAGGACUCCCCAUAAAUGUAGACUCCACAUUAGGGCUCUGCUCUUUCAGAUCAUGUGGUCAUUAACACAAGGCUGGCCAACACUCAUUCUAAAUUCCCUCCCUCCUUCCCCACCCACCCCGCCCCACAAUAAUGUGAAUUACUGGUAGUGACAUGAGAUUUGGAGAGAAAUGUUUAUAUGAUCCAAGAUGAAAAUUAAGUUCCAUGACUAUCAGAUGCACUAUUUCUAUAAGGCAAUUUAUGGGAUCAUUACAAUUAGUCUUGUACAAAGUAGUUCCAUAAGGGCCUGUCUAAGCUGUAGUCAGAGAAGAGGGAAUAGAUUUUAUUACCAGAAUUGUAAUGACUGUGUGUGUUGUUGAAAGUAAUAAAACUACAUUGAAAUAUUCUGAAAUUUAGACUUUUAAAAACUCCAUGUGUCAUGCCCUCCACAUUAGUAUAGUAGAAGGGUGGCCUGUAUGUAUAUAUAUGUAUGUAUUGUGCCCCCACAUAAGUGAGCAUGUACACAGGCAGAUGUGAAUAUCUUAUACCUCCCACAACUGGUAAGUCAGUAAGCAUGCAUGUGAAUGGCUGUAGACAGACCUCCUGAGCAUUCAUGUGCAAAGGUUGCCCCGGUGACACCCUCCUCUGCAAGGAGAGUCCAUAGAUGAGGAGGUUGAGUUUGGGAUGGGGCCCAGGGAGAUGUUGCUUUCUCUAAGUUAUAAUCAUAAGUCAUGCCUCUGUCUUGGGCUGGAGCACUGGCCCUGUAGUCCACCAGAUCUAGGUGUGGAGUCCUGCUGUUUUUGUAGUCUUGUGACUUUGAGCCAGUCUUUCAACCUUGUUAAAUGGCUGUUUUCUCACUUACAAAAGAAGAUAAUAAUGGUGUGGACUUUAUAGGCCUGCCUUAAAGAUUAAGAAAAGCACUUACAGAGCGUUCCACACCUAUGAGAGGAGAAACGGUUCUUGCGGUGGCGGCUGGGGGUGUGCGUGGUGAGGGGCGGUUGUUAGGCACAGAGGUGCCGAACCUCUCCUCUAGCUGAGCAGAGAUCGGCGGAGAGUUGGGUUCCCAGGCCCUCUGUUUUCCCACUUAGAAAAGCAUUAUUUAAUUGUCCAUCAAAUUUUGUGUUUUUGGGGGUCUUCAAACAAGGACACUAAUUCUUAAUCAUUAGUUUUAGGAAAUACUCUCAGAAUGACCAGCAGCCUCCUCUCAGCCUCCCCACUCCCCCAGUAGCCACUCCCGACCCUCUGAAGCUAAAGCAGCCGCAAACAAAACCCGCACUCCAACCCAGCUUCCCACUCCCACAAAUGCAUCAUUUUUAGCUGCUGUAAACAAAUCCCUGAAGUCUCAUGUCAUUGUUAUCGUGUUGAGAUAAAGAUCUGGCCAAUUAGCCUCCCCGCUGGAAUGCAAAUAAAUCAGCUGCUGGGGACCUGCCCUGGCGGUGGGUGUCCCUCUCUCACCCAGGCCUUGCCCUGCACCAAACUGUGCCCUCUCUCCUUUUACCUCUGCGGUGGGUGACAGCAUCUGGCCAUUGGAUUUGCCUGGUUUCUUAUCUCUCCGCUUGGCCCCACAACUGCUGUGUGACUUUAGGCAAGUCACUUACCCUCUCUGAGCCUGUUUCCUUUCCAUAAAGGAGUUACUGGCGGCUACCUUUUAGGGUUGGUAGUGAGUGGCUGUAACAAUAGAAAUAAUACAGCUGACAACAAUAACAUUAGCAAUCCCACCACCAAUGACCAUACGGACAGAACUAGCUACUGUUCAUGGCUUUUCUACAAGCACCAAUGGGCUCAGAGGUGAAGAGCCUCCCCUCCCCACCCAGCCCCCACAUAAACUGGCAGACCAUGGUCAAGAGACUUCUACUGGGCUGGGAGAGUCCGCUGUCUCAUUGGGUAUGAAGAUCCCAGAACAUCUCCAGGCUGCUGUAAACUCUUGCUAAGUGUCCGCCAUUGUUACUGCUUCUGCUUCUUGCAACAGCUCUUGUCUUUGGCCCUAUUAAUAUAACCAUUUCAGAGGAGGGAACUGAGGCUCAGAAGGGUGAGGUAAAUUGCCCAAAGUUGUUAAAAUUCCUUGCCUUGAACACUCAGCUUCCUCUCUUCCCCCGCGCCACGCAGGGACUGCCUGCCCAGACGCAGUUCUCUCUACUCUGCGAAUUCCUGCUCCCUACUCGACAGCCCUCCCCCUCCUCAAAUCUUCCUGCAGAGCCCUGACGGUGGUUCACAGCCCCCGAAAAGAAUGUGCCCCGGUGACAGGAUUGACGGGAAGCUGCCUUGAAAAUAAACACUGCCGGACGGUGGGGCGGAGCCUCCUCUAGCCCCCUCCCCUUCCCUCCUACGUGUACCCCCACCUCCGCCCCCCAGAGCAGUUUCCUUUCUCCCUACCUCCGUCCUUCGCUUUCUAUUCAGUAUGGGGCUGCCAGCCCUCGUCCCCGCCUUCUGAAGUGCCCACUGUCAAGUUAACACUAAUCAUGAUAAUAAACUUUCCACCGGUGAACAAAGCGUUCCACACAAAGGUCUCUUCUGAUCGCUACAUCCCUCGGAGAAAAGUAUCAUCGCCCCUCCCGCCCCAUGUUAGAGCCUUGGACAUUGAGGCCCCAGAAAUAAAAUUAUUUGUCCAAGGUCACGAAGCAAGUAAGGAGUGGGUGCAGGACGCCUCCGCUCCACGCCUGGGUGGGCUGGAGACAACGUCCUGCCCCAGCCAGACUCCGGGAACCAUGACUCCACGGCCAUCCGGCCCCAGGGAGGCGUUUUUCCAAGUGACCCCGCCUCCCCCCGCGACCCCCGCAGGGUUGACCUAUUGUCCCGGAGGCCUCGCUCGCCUCCUCCUGGGCGGUAUCUGCAACCCCGACGCCAGAGCAGGGCCCGCUGGGAGCCCACUGCUGGGUCCCUGGGAAUAGGUCACAGGGCUUUCCAAGGAGGCUCCCCUCCUGCCUCUGUCCUGACCUCUUAGACCACUCUGCCGAGGGAGAAGUAGGAACUUCCCACUGGAAAGCAAACCCCCUGCAGCACGGCGGAGCCGGGAAUGCGCUGGAGCUAGCCUUCAGACCUUGGCAGCCAGGCACCCCGGAAUCUGCGCAAGUGGCUGCAUCUCGGGGAGGCACCGUGCACUUCCUGGAGCAGAGCUGUGGAUUCAAAUUCUGUCUCCAUGGGUCUCCAGGCAAAUUCCGUAACCUCUCUGAGGUUUCUGCUUUUCUGACUUGUGGAACUGGGAAUACUAGAAGCAUCUACCUCUUAGGUCGCCUAAGGAUUCAAGGAAAUUACCUCUGUGAAGCACUUAGCGUGGUGCCUGGCACAAGAAACGCCCAAUAAAUGUUAGUUUAUUAUUAUGAAGCCCGGGACAAGUGGAGGUUGAUUUUUUUCCGUUUGGGGUGUGGGCUCUGUGUCCUUGCUCACACGGAGGCUGCCGAUGUGACCAGGUGGCGCCCUUUGAGGCCUUGGCUGGCCACGGGGAGAGGGGUAGAGUUUUUGAAGAGCCGGGCUCACCCCGGUUACUCUGUUUGGGGCGGGCCCCGGCGGUUACGUUAAUGCGAGCUGCGGCCGCCUGGCGACCUCGCUGUGUGCGUCUGUCCUGAGCCGCGUGCGUGUCGCGGCCUGUGAGUGUUAGGAGCCGGGUCCCCUUUGACGCGCUUGAGGGGACCUCACCUGCGCCUGGUUUAGAUUUUGGCCGGGACAAGAACCUCAGAUUCACCUGACGGAUGCGUGGCGUCCACGCUGUGUACACAAACCCCAGCGAGGCUGGAGUCCGGGUGCUCGGUUCAUCGAACAAUUUGCGCUAUUAAUGGUUAUUUUAUUUAUAUCGUUAGAAUUGUUCCCCCGGGUCUGUUUACACCAAACGUCUGGCCGUCCCGGCUGCACUGUUUGGACAGAGGAUUAUACUAAUGGAUAACGAGCUAGGAGGGGAGAAGAAGGCGCGGCUGGAAACGGGGCUCCAGGACACCGCGCCGGGUGGGCCUGGAGGGAAAGGGGAGCGGGGCCUCUCCCAGGCUCGACCUCUGACCUUAGAAGGGAAGGAAACUUGUCAGCCGCAAUUGGAAACCUUGGCCUCCAGCGGGGUGGAGGCUGGCUGCUCCCGGGACCCCUACCCCUCUUCUCUCUAGGCGGAUACCAAACUCGAGGUCGUCUUGCUUGGGUGAGCGCGCGUCAACAAGUAAACAAGACCGGGAGCUACCAGGAUGGCGG